rnacentral:misc_RNA from 1 species
GAUGAAGAACGUAGCGAAAUGCGAUAAGUAAUGUGAAUUGCAGAAUUCAGUGAAUCAUCGAAUCUUUGAACGCACAUUGCGCCCGCCAGUAUUCUGGCGGGCAUGCCUGUCCGAGCGUCAUUUCAACCAUCAAGCCCCGGGCUUGUGUUGGGGACCUGCGUCCGACGCAGGCCCCAAAAACCAGUGGCGGGCUCGCUGUCCACACCGAGCGUAGUAGCUAACCUCGCUCCGGAGUGGCGCGGGCGCCUGCCGUAAAACCCCCCAAUUUUACAAGGUUGACCUCGGAUCAGGUAGGAAUACCCGCUGAACUUAAGCAUAUCAAUAAGCGGAGGA